UUUGUACAGUCCUUAUUCUUAAGUUCAAAUCCUUGUGUUAAGUGGGAUUUGUUUUAUUUUUUUGUUGGUUUCAAAAAAGGAUAUUAUUUUAAUUUAUUUAGUUAUGUUUUAAAUUUGUUUUUAUGUUUUAAAUUUUUAUUUUUGAAAACCCUAAAAUAACUCUCACAUUUCCAUUUUUUUUCUUCUCACGUCAGUUUCUUUUCCAAUUUCAGACUUUUGCCUUUUUGGCUACUGUGUUUGCUUUUGAUAUCAUUUUCUUUUUCGAUUCAUUCUUGAAUUCUGUUAGUUUUCCUUUUGUUCCGCUGUGGAUUAUUCGGUUCUAGUAAUCUUGUGUCGUUCCUCUAGUUUUAAUCGGUCUUCAGAAACUUCGCUCAACAACAUGUUGAAUCAAGGGUAGUAUCUGUUUAAUUGAGGCGCAUCAGUUAAUCGCUAGCACGUGAAUCGUCUUUAAGGUGUGUUUCUUGAACUCUUGAAAAUGGGGUGAUUUUUGGGUGUUAAAUUCGUAUUUUGUGGUACAUUUGGGUAAGAUCAAUCAUUUCUGAGUCCUACACCUGUUGCCUUAGAAUAUAAUUUUGUUUGGUUGCUGCUAUAAUUUCUUUUUCCUUCACUUGUGCGAUAUUUGCGCUUAGGAAAGCACGAUGGUGGGUUUUGACUACUUCAAAAUGUUUGCUGAAAUACCCAACAGAUUCUUGUUUUGCUGAUAUUUUCUUCAUCACCUAAAGCCAUUAAUGACCUUCAAUUUCAUCAUGUUUUAUUUACUAUUAAUUUAUUUAUUUGUUUGUUCUUUUAAUUAGUAAAAAGUUGUACAUUACUUUCCAUUGUUUACAUCAAAUUUUGUUGCGUUUUUUAUUUUUAUUUUUAAUUUUACAUCGACUCAGUUUAAUCUUGGCUUGUAGCUAUAGCCAUUAGCCACCCAUGAAGAACAAUGUCUAACAUUUAUUGGACAACCAUUUCAAGGACUCUUGGUAGUGCACGCCUCCCCAUUCCUUUGAAAAAUAAAUGAAUUUGGAAUGUUUAUCAACCUUAAAGAGCUAUUGCAUUACCUAAAUGUAUUGCCUUUGACUAAGAGCUGGAUCGGCGGAUAGAGCAAAAAUCGACCUCAUAUCAGUUAUCUAUAAACUGUACAAGAUUUUUGUAAUAUGCUGCUUACUGAACCCAACUAACACAGCUACCAUGGACCACAGCUUGCGGUUUAGUUUAAAUGAUAUAUUUUUCUUGCAACUUUAACUCUUCGAUAGUAAAUGGACUUGUUUUGAUUUUCGAGUAACCCUACGCUCGUUUAAAUCUCUGUAGGUGUGUCGGGGAUGUUAUUACAGUUCGAGGGAGGUUAGGAAAGAUAUAAUUAUUGUUAAACUUUAGUUGUGAAUAUGAGCUCAUUUGACAUAAUUUUGUACUUUACAAUAGUGUUGGAUGUUGUGAACAUUAGAAAUCUGUGUAUAAUGUUACUUUCGUUGAUGGUUUAACUGUGUUCUAAUAUGUCUGAAUUCGAUUCUGCUAAACUGAACUGCUAGUCAGCAUGAUUAUUGAGUAAGGAAGUUUGAAAAGAAGUUUAUCUGAUUCUGUAAAAUUAGUUGCAUGGUAAUGUCUACAUCUGCAUUUUUUUGGGUUUUGGGAUUUGUUUGAAGGAAGAUUGUGUGGCAGUUAAACUGCAUAUUUAUUUUAGCGGUAUAACCCCAACAUUAAGCAGCAUAUGACCACAUUGGGGUGUGUUCGGUUGGACGGGUCCACUAUAACCCGAUAGUGGCGUGUAGAGGGUGGAAGUGUUUAGAAAAAAACCCUACUUUUGGUGUGUGUCGGUUGGCUGGAGAUUGUGUGUAGAGAUUGGAUAGGCUGAUAUUAGGACUGGUGCAUUUGAUUAUGAGUUGCAUUUGUUCCAUUUUUGAAUAAAUACUCCACAUUUGACUGUUUGACUAUGAAUUGAUUUGGCUUUUGUAUGUUUGAGAAAUUCUAAGUGUAUUUGAUCUGCUUAACUGUGAAGUGUUAUAAUAAUGUGAUAUGUAAGUCUAAUAUGAUCUCUGUUUCUGAGUUGAUUUUUUUUUUUUAGGUAAUAGAAAAUUUUAGUUAACUGUUUGUCUCUGUUUAAUUACAUUUGGUUUAAAUUCACACUGAGCUUUCGAAGUUCACUCCCCUAAUUUCCUCUUUUCAGGUAAAUCUCAAGACUAGGUGUUGGACUUGGCAAAUCGAAGAUCUCGAGACAACAUGUUUUGGUUUGAUUUAAUUAAGUUUUUAUAGGUUAUAAUAAUCUGUUUAAUUUGGACUAUAAAUAAGUUUUAGGAACUUAGGCAUGAAUUUUGAUUUCAUUUAGAUUCAUAAGAUUGCGGGAAUUUGGUUUUGAACGGAAGUUAUGAUUUAUCAUGCAUGGAUUAUAGUUAACCAGUUACUAUUCUCUUUAUAAAGAACACACACACAGUUUAGAGAAAUAACUUAUGGUUUCUGUUUUAAAAAUAAAUGAUAUAUUUUCUAAUGUACCUGAUUUUGAAAUUUCAGUUAACGAUUAGCAAAACUUGAAUUAUCUGUAAACUGAAUAUUAAUAAUUAUUAAAUUGGUUUUAUUUUAAUUCUAAUAACGAUUAAACCCAUGAUUUGCAAAACAUAAGUAAAGAUUUUAUUGGAUUUUGUUAAGCUUAAAAAAAAUGGAUUUCAAAAAGAGAUUUUCGAGAUUUGAUCAGUAUUUUGAUUCGAGACACUUUGGUGAGCAAUGUGACCUCCAGACAAAAAGUAUUCCCUUAAUUUAGAAAAAAGAAG
rnacentral:lncRNA from 1 species